rnacentral:rRNA from 1 species
GCGCAGCAGUCGCGAAAACUCCGCAAUACACGAAAGCGUGACGGGGCUAUCCCGAGUGCCGUCCGCUGAGGAUGGCUUUUCCCCAGUGUAGACAGCUGGGGGAAUAAGGAGAGGGCAAGUCUGGUGUCAGCCGCCGCGGUAAUACCAGCUCUUCGAGUGGUAGGGAUGUUUAUUGGGCCUGAAGCAUCCGUAGCCGGCUGGGCAAGUUCUCGGUUAAAUCCAGCGAUUCAAUCGUUGGAUUGCGGGGGAGACUGUUCGGCUUGGGGGCGGGAGAGGCCGUCGGUAUUCUUGGGGUAGGGGUAAAAUCUUAUAAUCCCGGGAGGACCACCAGUGGCGAAGGCUGUCGGCUAGAAC